AGAGUUUGAUCCUGGCUCAGGAUGAACGCUGGCGGCGUGCCUAAUACAUGCAAGUCGAACGGAGAGCGAUACUUCGGUAGAAGCUCUUAGUGGCGAACGGGUGAGUAACGCGUUGGUGACCUGCCCCGAAGAGGGGGAUAACAGCUCGAAAGGGCUGCUAAUACCCCAUGUGGUCUUGGAGGUUAGAUACUUCAGGACUAAAGGAGAAAUCCGCUUCGGGAGGGGCCUGCGUCCCAUCAGCUAGUUGGUAGGGUAAAAGCCUACCAAGGCGAAGACGGGUAGGGGACCUGAGAGGGUGACCCCCCACAAUGGAACUGAAACACGGUCCAUACACCUACGGGUGGCAGCAGUAGGGAAUAUUGCACAAUGGGCGAAAGCCUGAUGCAGCAACGCCGCGUGCGCGAUGAAGGCCUUCGGGUUGUAAAGCGCUUUUCGGGGAGAUGAGAAAGGACAGUAUCCCCGGAAUAAGGCUCGGCUAACUACGUGCCAGCAGCCGCGGUAAAACGUAGGAGUCAAGCGUUAUCCGAAUUUACUGGGCGUAAAGCGCGUGCAGGCGGUUCGGUAAGUUGGAUGUGAAAGCUCCCGGCUCAACUGGGAGAGGACGUUCAAUACUGCCGAACUAGAGGACGGCAGAGGGAGGUGGAAUUCCCGGUGUAGUGGUGAAAUGCGUAGAUAUCGGGAAACACCAGUGGCGAAGGCGGCCUCCUGGGCCGAUCCUGACGCUAAGACGCGAAAGCUAGGGUAGCAAACGGGAUUAGAAACCCCGGUAGUCCUAGCUGUAAACGAUGUAGACUUGGUGUUGGUGGUGUAAGAGCCAUCAGUGCCGAAGCCAACGCGAUAAGUCUACCGCCUGGGGACUACGGCCGCAAGGCUAAAACUCAAAGGAAUUGACGGGGGCCCGCACAAGCAGCGGAGCGUGUGGUUUAAUUCGAUCUACGCGAAGAACCUUACCCGGGCUUGACAUACAGGUGGUAGGGAAGCGAAAGUGGACCGACCCUUCGGGGAGCCUGAACAGGUGCUGCAUGGCUGUCGUCAGCUCGUGCCGUGAGGUGUCCGGUUAAGUCCGGUAACGAGCGCAACCCUUGCCGUAUGUUAUAUGUGUCAUACGGGACUGCCGGUAUAAAGCCGGAGGAAGGUGGGGAUGACGUCAAGUCAGCAUGACCUUUAUGUCCGGGGCUACACACACGCUACAAUGGUCAGUACAAUAGGUAGCAAGACCGCGAGGUGGAGCCAAUCCUAAAAGCUGGCCUCAGUUCAGAUUGCAGGCUGCAACUCGCCUGCAUGAAGCUGGAGUUGCUAGUAACCGCGCGUCAGCAACAGUGCGGUGAAUACGUUCCCGGGCCUUGUACACACCGCCCGUCACGUCAUGGAAGCUGGCAACACCUGAAGCCGGUAUCCUAACCGAAAGGAGGGAGCCGUCGAAGGUGGGGUUGGUGACUGGGACGAAGUCGUAACAAGGUA
rnacentral:rRNA from 1 species